GGCAAGGCGGGUCGUUAUUUGAAUAGAUGCCAAAUUGCAUGGUUUAUCCUACAUUCCAUCCCAGCCGUCAGGAGAAAUUAUUGCCUCUUUUAAAAAUAUUUCUACCUCACGCACAUUAAAGAUAAGUUCAUAUUCUAUAAAUAUACACACUGUAAAGCCUUCCAGAAAUCAAUUUCGCCUCAUUUUCUCUAUGCUUUAUUCGCUCACCUCAUGAAUUUCGCUGCAUGUCCCAUUUCACAAGCACUUGCUGAUGUUUCUUUCCAACGUUUACAAUUUCUGUACCCCACUGUGAUUCAGUUGAAGUCUCUGUGUCUCUAUCCUUCAAAUAUCCACUCUGAUGUCCCCGGAAACCAGUCUCGCCUCAUUUGCGCAAUGCUUUCGUCAUCCCCGUCAUGCAUUUUUCUGCUGCACCCAUUUCUAAAGUCUUUGCCUAUGUUAAAAAUAUUUCUACCCCACUUAGACUCAAUUUUGGUCACCAUUUUAUAAAUAGAUAUUCUGAAGCUUUUCAGAAAUCAGUUUCACCUCAUUUACUCCACGCUUUCAUCACUCAUCUCACACAUUUCCCUGGGUUGUCGAUUCCACAGCACUUGCCGAUGUUUCUUUCUAAUGUUGAGAAUAUUUCUACCCCACCAAGAUUUAACAGUAUCCCAUAAAUAGACACCCUGAAGCAAUCUAGAAACCGAUUUCACCUCAUUCAUUUUUUAUUCACAUAAUGGCCACGUUUUGAAAACGCUCGUCCUUUCCGGAGCACUUUGAGAAUUUUCUUUCCAAUGUGAAGAAUAUUUCUACCUGACUGAGAUACAAUCUCCUUACUCCAUAUACUCACUCCAUAUACUGUCACAAACACCCCUAGACAAUCUCGAAAUCAGUUUCACCUCAUUUGCUCAAUCCUUUCAUCACGCAUCUCAUGCAUUUCACUGAAUGGCCCAUUUCCGAUGCACAUGUCAAUGUUUCUUACCAAUUUUAAAAAUAUUUCUACUCCACUUAUUCUCAUGCUAACUGCAUAUCCUAUAACUAGACAUUGUCGAGCAUUCCAGGAACAAAUUUCAUGUCGUUUCAUUCGUUUCACCCCUCAGCUUGCACUUUCAAGGGUGCGUCACGCCUCCGAACCAUCCGCUCCUCAGCACCUUUCCAAUUUUACAGAUAUUUCUACCUCACACAGAUUUAAGGAUUCCAUUUGUGCAGCCCAAGUCUAUAAAAGAGAGAGGUCAAACAACAGCAAUGAUGCCUGAGGUGCCUGUUUGCCCCACAUGAACACCAACAGUGUAAAACUAUCAACUUUGAGGACUACGAAUCAGUCAAGAUUAUUCGUAAUAGUGAAAGCGGCACACUUCAUCGGGUGACACCUCUAGAGUGAACACCGCAAAUUAUAGGACUUCAUAUGUUCCUGUCAUCCACUACAAUGGUCCAAGUGUUUCACAAUGUAGGCAACGUGCAAGAAAAAAAAUGACCUUUGGCGGCCUGCAAAGGCGUGACAGUUAGUCAGUUGUAACGGCAGUGGCCACACGUGGAGCCAGAAAUGUGCGCUCGCUUGUACAUUCCAUCACUGCCAGUCAGAACUCAUGUUGAGGAAGCCAUCUCCUCCUGAUGGUCCUGAGGUUGAGGAAGUCUCCUCUACUAGAGGAGUAAGAACACACCAUGUGACGCCAUCGAGAACAUUCCACCUCUCCAGCAUCCUUUCCGUCCUGUGCGAGUAUCACCGUCUCUGUCGUGAGAAACACUAUAGGGGCACAGAGUCUUGGUAGCACCCAUCUAAGCCCUACACAGCCACAUCCCCCAUUCCCUGACACACUUCCUUUGCCAGCAGCAACAUUAGCAAGGGUGAAGCAAGUUCCUUAACUGGCUUAAAACUGUACUACAAUGCAACUUCAGCUACUGUGCAAUAAAUCCUCGACUCCAAUGACUAACGCGUCUAUCUACAAGACAACUUUAGCCCCACACCAUUACAUUGUUGAUUGGUAUGAGUUAAGGAAUCCUAAUUGAAUUUUUUAGUGUACCGGAUUCAGUGUGCAGAUAAACUGUUGUCUAAGAUUGUGAAAUGUAAAAACAUGUGUAUAGUUCAAAAUAAAUGAUAUACAAUGUGAAAACAUCUGUUUACCUUGGUUAGAAUUAGAAAUAAAAUUGCCAUAUUGCCACACAAGAGAUGCAGGAAUUGCUGGUUACAUGGUUCUGUUGUCCUAGUUCCUUGGCUAGCCGGCUAGGAUGCAGCUUGGAAGAAGGUACAUGAAAGUGCUCUUUCUCCACCUAUGUGAAGUUGAAGGAGAACGGAGCUCUGAAAAACAAAAAGAAAAGCAGGAUACCAAGACGGAAGCACAGCAAUAUCAGAAGUAGAUGUUGGACAGCAUAUAUUUCAUGACAUGCAAUUGUCAUAAAAAGGAAGGCAAAAAAAUUAACAGUAGUAACCUCCACAACAGCAUAGAACUUGUAGUCAUAAAAGUCACACAUUAAGCAUUUCUUACAUUUGCAGGGAUUUCUUAGAAGGAUUCGGCGUUAUAGUAUGGGGGAAAGCUGCAAAGUAUCAAAAAAGAAAAGAAAACUUGUAUGGCAAUGAAAAUAAUUUACUGGUAUGCUUCAUAACGCCCGGUUACAGGGUGUUCAAUUUCUGUAUAGAUUCCGAAUGUCAACCUAUAGGAUAUGGACUUCGAUUGAAAUGAGUGGAGAACAAUAUUUAACAUUGGAAUGAAAUUUUGCGAACUGCUCCAGACAGGACCUGUAUAUUCAAAAUGUGGCCAUUAUGUGAAUAAAAAGUUAACUGAAUGA